GCCGCUGUAGCUCAGUUGGUAGAGCAGCGCAUUCGUAAUGCGAAGGUCGACAGUUCGAUUCCGUCCAGCGGCACCA
rnacentral:tRNA from 2 species